rnacentral:RNase_P_RNA from 1 species
CCAGUCGACCGGGCAGCCGCUGUGCUUUGCACAGAGGAAAGUCCGGGCUCCAUGGAAACACGGUGCCGGGUAACGCCCGGCGGGGGCGACCCCAGGGAAAGUGCCACAGAAAGCAGACCGCCGGGGUAUCCCCGGCAAGGGUGAAAGGGUGCGGUAAGAGCGCACCGCGCGGCCGGUAACGGUCGUGGCAGGGCAAACCCCACCGGGAGCAAGACCGAAUAGGGAUGGCACAGGGCUUUGCCCUUAAGCGUGUUUCCACGCUGCCGUCCGGGUUGGUUGCACGAGGCCGCCGGCAACGGUGGUCCCAGAUGAAUGGCUGCCGCGCGGUUUCACCGCCAUACAGAACCCGGCUUACAGGUCGGCUGGCCGC